GACGAACGCUGGCGGCGUGCCUAACACAUGCAAGUCGAACGGAGAGUUUAUCGAGGAGACUUCGGUCAACGAGAUAAAUUUCUUAGUGGCGGACGGGUGAGUAACGCGUGAGCAAUCUGCCUUUCAGAGGGGGAUAACAUUCUGAAAAGAAGGCUAAUACCGCAUAACGUAUAUUGGUGGCAUCAUCAAAAUACCAAAGGAGCAAUCCGCUGAAAGAUGAGCUCGCGUCUGAUUAGAUAGUUGGUGAGGUAACGGCUCACCAAGUCGACGAUCAGUAGCCGGACUGAGAGGUUGAACGGCCACAUUGGGACUGAGACACGGCCCAGACUCCUACGGGAGGCAGCAGUGGGGAAUAUUGCACAAUGGGCGAAAGCCUGAUGCAGCAACGCCGCGUGAGGGAAGACGGUCUUCGGAUUGUAAACCUCUGUCCUUGGUGACGAAUAAAUGACGGUAGCCUUGGAGGAAGCCACGGCUAACUACGUGCCAGCAGCCGCCGCCGUAA
rnacentral:rRNA from 1 species